CCCACCCGUGUUUACCGUUACCGCGUUGCCUCGGCGGGCCCACUGGGGCCCGGCCCCGGUCGCCGGGGGGCUUCUGCCCCCGGGCCCGCGCCCGCCGACGCACCCUAGAACCCUGCCUGAAUAGUGAGUCUGAGUGAGAUUUGAAAUCAUUAAAACUUUCAACAACGGAUCUCUUGGUUCCGGCAUCGAUGAAGAACGCAGCGAAAUGCGAUAAGUAAUGUGAAUUGCAGAAUUCCGUGAAUCAUCGAAUCUUUGAACGCACAUUGCGCCCCCUGGCAUUCCGGGGGGCAUGCCUGUCCGAGCGUCAUUUCUGCCCUCCAGCACGGCUGGGUGUUGGGCGCUGUCCCCCCGGGGACACGCCCCAAAAGCAGUGGCGGCGCCGCGUCGGGUCCUCGAGCGUAUGGGGCUUUGUCACCCGCUCGGGAGGGACUCGGUCGGCGCUGGUCUUCCCUUUAGGCCGCCCUUCGGGGUGCGCCUCUUCCGGUUGACCUCGGAUCAGGUAGGGCUACCCGCUGAACUUAAGCAUAUCAAUAA
rnacentral:rRNA from 1 species